rnacentral:lncRNA from 1 species
UCCUCCCUCAUCUUCCCCUGUGCUAUCUCCGGAGAUUUCUCCCUCUUCAAUAUCUGGAGAUGCUCCUGCACCCUCCCCUAACGGUGCCGUUUUGAAUAAGUUCACCUUCUCUGGAUUUCUGGCCGUUGGGGUUUGGGCUGCUUCUGUCUUGGUUAUGUAGAGGACAGUCAGACUAUGAUUAACAAUACAAUGGUUAUGUAGAGGAUAUGUAACAUGUACUCACAAAGAGCACUACUUGACUCCUUAACGGAUCAUUCCUUCCUCCCUGCAAAUUUAACUCCAACAUAUAUUAUAACAUUUCAAAUUUGUUUGGAAUUGCAGCCCAUUGAUUCUAGAAAACACUAUUUGUCCCUGUAUAAAGAUUCAUUUUCCUUGUAUGAUUCCAAUUUCAAUUGGUAUGUUUUUUAUUACAUUACUAAUUCAUUUUCAAUAAUCAUAUGACCAGAAACGUACGAUAAUGAGGGAGGCUUUGAACAAUAAAGUGGAAAACAAAUACAAGACAGUACUUUAAUGUGCUACCACAAUGUUCAACCAAGUGACAAACAAUCUAAUAAUGAAUAUGUAUCAUACUUAGGGCUGCAAGUUAGAAUGGUAUUUUCGAUUCCAACAUAAAAAUUUCUGAAUCUGAAUAUUUCUAAAAAUUUGAAAUGGAAAUUGGAAUACAUUCAAAGAUUUUGAGAAUUCCGAAUUUUCACUUUGAAAUUUUCUGAACUGUUUGAACUUAAUUAUUACGAUAAAAAAUCCGAAUUUUUAAUGUUAUUUACUAAAAUUAUGUAUUUUGUAAAUAUAUUUGUAUUUUAUUGUUAGUUUUAGACACAUUUUAUUCAGGAUAAGCAUACUAGUUGUUCGUCGCAGGAAUCUCCUGGCGGACGAGCACACAGCUCCCCUGGGAGAAUGGCGUCGGUUGAGGGUAUCUGUCGUACUUCUGCUUUCUUCUCGGGCUCGCUCGGGCAAGCCUUUGUCGGGCAGAUCUUGGUCGGGCAAGACACACUUCGGGCAAGGCUCGUCGGACAGUUCUGAAAGAGAAGGACAGAGUUAAUUUGAAAGGGUGCCUUGUGGGGCCUUAGAUGUAGGCCUUAAGGCUCACAAUCAAGAUUAACUUUGUCGUGCUCAGGCGUCCCACUGCCAUCUUCAGUAUGGCAGAUGUUGAAUGGGUGUUAAGCUUUGAUUGAAUAUGUAUACGCCCGAGAAACCAGGUUAGAUAUAACAGUUGCCUUUGUGAGGCCUUAGGUAUAGGCCUUGAGGCUUCCUGUCAAACUAAACCAGCGCUUGGAUGUAUCAUAUUUGGUCUUUUAUGGUUGCCAGAGUCUUAUCACUAUUAUACUUUUGAUUAUCUGAAUCCAAGAGGUAGGACGAACCCAAAUGAGUGCCUUUGUAGGGCCUUAGGUAUAGGCCUUGAGGCUUCCCAUCAGAGUUAAUCCUUAUACUCGGACCAACUAGACCACAACAUGAAAUGAAGCUAAAUAGAUGCCUUCGUGGGGCCUUAGGUGUAGGCCUUGAGGCUUUCUAUCAGAAUUCACUCCCUGCCUAAGCCUUUUCUACGAAUCAAGAUAUAAUAGCAACAAAACGGAGAAAUAGAUUAAUUACUUGCGCCCCAAGUAACUUCGGACUUCUCGCUUAUCAAGGAUUGUCGUAGAUGGGUUGAGUCCACAUAGAGUUCUUUUUUAUGCCUUGAGGUCAAGGACUUUUAAACUGAUCUUUAAAUUACACGCCCGCCGGGCUUAAGACUUAGAUCUGAUUUGAACUCUGACACGAUUCAGAUCGGAUCCAAGUGCUGAAGACUCAUUUUCAUUAUGACUUUGCUAGAAAUAACUUGUAUAUAACUGGGAAUAUAUAACAUGUUAUUGUGUUUUUAAAAGAAAGAAAAGACAAAGACAGAGCAAAGAUAGUCGGGUAAGUUUGAACCUUAUCGGCCAAGGCUGAACUUCUUACAAAAUCUAUCUUUGUGGCUCUGUCAGAGGUCUGAAAGCUUUUAGAGGGGUUGACGGGGGAGAAGAGGAUACAAAAUGAAUCGAUACCACCAUGAACAAGGUAGCAGAGCUAUUACAGGGGUUUGGGAAGGUUUAUCCCGAAUGGGAUGAAGGCUUGUGCUGACUACAGCUUCGUUGAAGGCAAAUCUGGCUUGAGCAGAGUUUUGGCUUUUGUUUGUUUGUUUGAGUGUCCUUAAUUCUGUCUUCUCUUCCUCCUUUUAUAGACGACUUCAGCUUGGGUUCCUGUAGCAAUAGCGGUUGCCCGAAUGCGGUUUGGUGAUGACUCACUAGCUUUUUUACAUGAAUGCCACCAAUAAAGUACUUUAUUGGGCUGUGCAGUGACUGAAUGACCCACCCCCUGUGGUCUUUGAGCAGGUAAGCAGGUGGCCUUUGUAACUUGUGCCCAGCCGAAAGCCUCUUUCCUGCCUCCUAAGUUUUCCUCUGGGCCUUGGGUUUGGGCCGGCUUUCUCUCUGGCCCAAAGUUCAGAUUUUAUCCCAAACACUAGUAUAUCACAAAAUUAAAUGUAUCUGUACACAAGCAUAUAUCAAAUACAUUAAGAAAAAACAAUAAAGUGCAUGUACGAAAAUUCAAGAAUAUUAAAACAUGUAAAAUAUAUGAAUUUUCGACCUAUGUUCUGAUCUGAUCCGAUUUUGAAAUUUGGAAAGAAAAGUAGAAACGUUGUUUCCUAUCCGACCAGUUCUAAAAUCACCCCUAAUCAUAUUUUUACUUGCUAACCAAUCAAAUGGGGAGAAAAUAGGAAAAAAUAAUGGCAAACUUUGUUCUUAUUUCAUUGACAAUAAGACUUGUAACUCAUUGAGACAGACAUGCAGAUUCCGAAGCUAGACAGGUUCAUAUGCCGAAGCUAGACAAACAAAUUCAGAUCAUAUACCGAAUCUAGACAAACAAAUUCAGACGCCAAAGGCAGACAUAGAGAUUCAAAAGUUGAAGACAUACAUACGGCAGACAUAGAGAUUCAAAAGUUGAAGGCAUACAUACAAAAUUAGAUUUCGAAGUCAGAUGCAGACUUCAUAUACAAAGCCAAAUGAAGAUAUCAAAUGAGGAAGCCAAUACUGUUGCACCAUCGUCACUAUGUGAACAUGAUCCCCAUGUUCAUGUACUAAUUGUUUUUGGUAUAGUAAAUACUUCAGUUGGCAGGGUAUAAUAAUGGUAUUGCCAUUUUGAUAUUGGGCUAUUUUAUUUGGUCUCAGAUAUUUUUAUGAUGAGGUUUGGUAAGUCUCAUAUUGCUGAUUAAUUUUAUAAUAAAAGUUCAAUUUUUUUCACUUCUAAUAUCAUCCUUGAAAUUAUUGUCAGCACUAAUUUUUCUUUUGUUGUAUACAUGAUAUUUGAGACUAUAAUUUUGUCUCUGAAACUAUUUAUGAUCUAAUUACAUUGUCAUAAUUUUGACGAGUGUGGACAAGACAUUUAAAAAUACGAAAACGUCUUAUCUAAAAGAUGAUGCACAUCAGCAAUUGUAGAAAAGACAGCAAAGGUCAGAGAAGGUAAUUUGGCUCAAUCACUCCAUACCUUGGAGGGUGCAUUAUCAUUGGUUUAAAUAGUGUACAAUGACUUGAUUUACAAGUAUAAUUAAUAUACAUAUAAUACAUAAAGGGAAUGUUUUAAUAAUACAGGAAAUCGAGAAAUAAUGAUGAAAUAGGAAACAAUCUCAAGAGAUCAAGAAGAUAUCAUCUUUCACGCCCUCGCAAGCUGAGAGUACGAUUGAGUACCAGAAGCUUGGAAACCAAAAAUCUAAAACGAGGAAGAGAAAGACCCUUGGUGAAGAUAUCAACGAUUUGGUUAUGAGUGGAAAGAUAGCUAACAUUAAGCUUCUUGCGAACAACCUUCUCACGAAUAUAAUGGUAAUCCACCUCAACGUGCCGAGUAUGAGCAUGAAGCACCGAGUUGGAAGCAAGGGAGAUGGCACUGAUAUUGUCACAAAACAGAGUGGGGCAAUGGAAAGGUAACUGAAGGUCACGAACCAACAUACGAAACCAGGAAAUGGUGGCAGCGGCAAAGGGCAAGUUGACGAUACUCAGCCUCAAUGUUAGAACGAGAGACCCCAUUUUGCUUCUUUGCACUCCAUGAGACAAGAUUGGAACUCAGAAACAAACAAUAGCCUCCGGUUAAACGCCGAUCAUCGAGAUCCCUAGCAUAAUCGGCAUCGAAAAAGGCCGUAAGACGAAGUGAACUGGGCUUGUAGAUAAUACAGUGAUUAGCAGUGCCAACAAGGUAACGAAGAAUUCAUUUGACGGCAGCGCAAUGAGUGGAAAUCAGCUGGUGAAGAAAUUGGCAUACUUGAUUGACCGCAAAGUUGAUGUCGGGACGAGUGAGAGUCAAGUAUUGGAGGGCACCGACAACACUAUGGUAUUCAGUAGGAUCCGGCAGAGGGUCACCAUCAUGAAUGUUGAGUCGUCGCCCACUGACAGCAGGGGUAAGGAUCGACUGGGCACCAAGCAUUUUGGUGCGAUGAAGGAGGUCAAUGAUAUAUUUGUGUUGGGAAAGAGAGACCAGAUGGAGUAUGGACCACCUCCAUGCCUAAAAAAUAAUGGAUCGGCCCAAGGUCCUUUAUAGAAAACCAUAGACCCAAAUUCUUAAUGAGUGACAAUGUGAGAGGGAUUAUUCCCCGUGACCAAAAUAUCAUCAACAUAAAUUAAUAAAUAAAAUGUGAGUAGCGCCAUGAAUAUAAGUAAAAAGCAAGUGAUCCAUUGUAGAUGAAUGAAAACUCAAAUCUUCCAAAUGAGUGGAAAAACACUGGAACCAGGCACGGGGCGCCUACUUGAGGCCAUAUAAAGAAUGACGGAGGCGGCACACAUGAUUAGGAAACUUUGGAUCGAUAAAGCCAUGAGGUUGGUGCAUAUAGACCUCCUCAGAUAAAGAACCGUGGAGAAUAGCAUUUUAAACAUCCAACUGGCAAAUAGGCCAUUUAAAUUGAACUGAAAGAGCCAAAAUUAACUGAAUAAUAGAGUGAUUUACAACAGGACUAAAAGUUUCACCAUAAUCAUGGCCGGGUUGCUGAUGAAAGCCAUUGACGACCAAACGAGCCUUAUACCACUGAACAGAGCCAUUGAAAUUUUGUUUAAUACGAAACACCCAUUUGUUUGCCAAAUAUUCAUAGAAGCAAUACGAGGAAUAAGAGUCCAAGUACCUGCAUGCUAAAGUGCAUUAAAUUCAUUGGCCAUCAUAGUAUGUCAUUCCGUGAAUUUAUUGGCCUAACUAAAACAUGUAGGCUUAAUGGGUCCAUUAGAAGAUUUAAUUGCAGUAGAAAAAACAUAUUUGUGAGGCUUAUAGGAAGCCAUUUUGGACCUGGUCAGCAUACCAUGAGAAUUAGAAGGAGCUGCAGAUAUGGCAGCAGCAAAUAGGGCCUCUGGAAGCGCAGCAGAUGGGGCUGCAAGGCUAACUGCAGGCAUGGGCGUAUGAGCUACAAGUUGGGUUGCAACUUGUGCAAAAGAGAAAACCCGUCAGUAAGGAUCACGCCAAUAGACCUGCAGGGCCUGCUGUGGUGAGCUGGGUUGAUGAGUCUCCAAAGCAGGAGACACAACCACCGGUUGGCUGCUGGAUUGUCAGGGCACUCGGGAAAGGCCCAAUGAUUUAUAAAGCAGGAAGAGGAGAUGGGGCCUGUGAGGAUUGGGCAAGAGAGCCAGAGAUCUCCUUGAAAGAAAAAAAAACCUUCAUCAAACACAACAUGGUAUGAUAAAAAGAUGUUAUUGGUAGAGAUGUCUAAGCACUGACAACCUUGAUGAUUGAGAUAGUAACCAAGAAAAAUACACUUAGUAGAAUGAAAUUUAAGUUUAUUAUUAUUAUAGGGCCUAAGGUAGGGAAAACGGGCACACCCAAAGGUCUUCAAAAAACUAUAAUUAGGUUGCUUAUGAAACAAUAAAACCAAGUACCUAAUAGGGGAGCCGAUUGAUAAGAUAAACCAUGAUGUGCAUGUCCUCAGCCUAAUAGGCAAGAGGCAUCGACACGUGGGCCAUUAAAGUAAGCCCAGUGUCAACAAUGUGAUGGUGUUUCCGUUCUGCCAAACCAUUUUGCUCGGGAUGGUGAGGGCAUGUUAAGUACAAUUAAUUACUAAGCUUAAUUAGAGAAAUGUAUAUAUAUUGAGUUGUAUUCCUUACACAUUAAGAAAGAAAUAAUACAGACUUCUUUAUUUACAUGGUAUCACCGCCUCUCUGCUUCACCGUCUCCCUAUCCUUCUUUCAUUGCGAUUCCUUCUUCAAUCUUUGCUUCUCCGAUCCUCACUUCUCGGAACUUUGAUCUUUGGCUAUGACGUCUUCAACUUCGUCUCCUGUGCAACCUGAAGUUGUUGCCCCUAAUCCUGCAAUUUCUUCUCCCAAUUUUGCAGCGAUGAACCCUAAUCCUUGAAAUUCUCUGAUCUCGUCGAUUUCUUCCAUAACUGUUCAGAAUAUCAGUUGUAUGAUUCCUACGAACCUCAAGCAUGACAAUUAUCUCAUUUGGAAAGCUAUCUUCGCUCCGAUUUUCCGACAAUACAAACUUACCAGCAUUGUUAAUGGCUCUUAAGUUUGCCUGCCACCUUAUGUUCUUGAUGAAUUUGGUCAAAUUACUAGAAUUUCAAACCCUGCUUUCGAGAUUUGGUAUGAAAAAGAUCAAAAUAUACUAAUAUGGUUAAAUUCAACUCUCUCUAAAGACUUUAUUUCCUUCACCGUUGGUGUCACAUCGUCUCGAGAUUUCUGGUUAAAUCUUGAGCAUCUAUUUAGUGGCAUUUCUUUAGCUCACGUUCAUCAGCUCCAUUCUUGUCUCCAUUAUGUGCAUAAAGGCGAUCUUUCUAUCUCAAAUUAUUUACAGAGAAUUGAAGGCAUUGCUGAUUCAUUAAUGGCUACUGAAGCUCCUAUCUCUAAUGAUUUGAUUACUGUUACUCUAAAUGGAUUACCUGAUGAGUAUAAGUCUUUCAUUAACUCUACCAUGCUCAGGAUCUCUACCACAACACUGGAUGAACUUCAUGGACUGUUGAUAAACAAGGAAGUUUUCAUGAAUCGUAAGAAGAAAUGUGUGGCCUCUUCCACUUCUGAGCUUUUUGAGGCCUUUGUUGUGCAGUCUCAACCCCCUCUCCUUCCUACUACAAUUUUCCUCAAGCUUAUGCUACUCACCAGUCACCCUACAAUGCUCCACCAAAGUUUCACAACAAUAAUCGUGGUCGAGGAUCCUUUCAACGCAAUAAUUGUGGUAAUUUUCAUAAGAACUUCAAUAAUUCUUGUGGUAAUUUUCACAAUUAUAGUGGAACUCAUGGCUUGCAAUAAUUUUGGGGGAAAUCAUAACAAUUCUGGUGGAAGAACUCCCUAGCAAAUUUGUAACUCUUUUGAUCAUGAAGCUAUUGAUUGUUAUGAGCGAAUGAAUCAUGCUUUUGCUAGAAAAAUUCCUCCUGCAAAGUUAGCUUCUGUGUGUGCUCACACCAGUUCUAAGCAAUCUUCUCCCACUUGUUUGAUGGACUCGGGUGACACAUCCCAUAUUACUAAUGACAUAUCUGCCAUUCAAUCUCCACAUUCAUACUCUGGCGAAGAAAGUGUGUAUGUUUGUGAUGGACAAGGUAUGGCUAUCCAUCACACUAGUAAUUCUACAAUUUUAACACCACAUGCUUCUUUCAUAUUAAGUAAUAUUAUUCAUGUUCCACAGAUGAAAUUCAAUUUACUCUCUGCCUAUCAAUUCUUGAAAGAUAACUAUUAUUCUUUGACCCUUGAUUCUGAUGGUUCUAAAAUCAAGGAUUGUUCUUCGGGGAUGACGUUUUUUUAAGGGCCAGUUAGAAAAGGAUUUUAUCCCUUUCAAGGUCUUUCCAAUGUCUUUUCUUCACAUUCUACUCUUAUCAGCACUAAAGCAUCGUUGAAGACAUGGCAUAAAAGGCUCGGUUAUCCUUCAUCUGCUAUGUUUAAGACAAUAUUAAAUAAGCAUAGUCUUGAUCACAGUGGUGACAAGCUUGUAUCUUUCUUUUGCACAAAUUGUGCCAUAGGUAUAAAUCAUAAGUUGAUACAUUGUGAUGUUUAGGGUCCAUCUCCAGUCACUUUUAUUAGUGGUUACAAGUUCUACUUGCUAAUUGUGGAUGAGUUUACUAAAUACACCUAGUUGUUUCCUAUGGAAGCUAAGUCUGAGGUUUUCUCUAUGUUUGUAUCAUUCAAAGCUUAUGUAGAAAACAUGAUUGGAAAUAAAAUAAAAGUCUUGAGAUCAGAUUCAAAGGGUGAGUUCACUAGUUCUGUGUUAAAUUCUUUUCUCUCAAGUAAUGGAAUCUCUCAUCAAUAUAAUUGUCAUCACACUCCAAAAAAAAAUAUAUGUGUUGAAAGGAAGCACAGACAUCUUAUAGAGAUUGCAAGGACUUUUUUGGUUUCUUCUCGGGAUCCUCACAAGUUCUGGGUUGAAGCCUUUUCAACUGCUCUUUAUCUCAUCAACAGAUUGCCAAUUUCUAAACUAGACAAAUCUCCUUGGGAACUUCUAUUUAGGAAACCUCCAGAUUAUUCCAAAUUAAAGGUGUUUGGAUGCAGCUGCUACCCUUAGCUUAAACCACAUAUUUCAUCAAAACUGGAUGGUAAAAGCAAGCAUUGUGUCUUUCUUGGUUAUAGCCUUCAACACAAAGGAUAUCGUUGUUUAGAUCUUCAAUCUCAAAGAUUGUAUAUUUCAAGGCAUGUUCUGUUCAAUGAAGUUCAUUUUCCUUUUCACUAUGAACACUAUGAACAGAAGCUUCACUUCUCAUCACUGCCAUAUUACACAGUGUCUGCAUCUACUCUAGCAUUUACUCUUCGAUUUCCAACCUCUCAUAGUACUCCAGUAGCAUCUCUAUCCCCUACAACAUCUCAGCAAUCAUCAUCUCAACAAGUACCAUCUCAGUCAUCAUUUUCACAACUCAGUCACUCAUUACCUUUACAGUUAAGACUCUCAUCUCAUAUUCAACCAUCUAUUCCUGCUAAUUCUCAUCUUAUGAUUAAAAGGUCCAAAGCAGGUAUCUUUAAACCAAAAGCUCUCUCUGCAACAAAACAUCCCAUUAAUAUUGAUACUUUCGUGCCUACCACUUAUCUGCAAGCAUCCAAGCAUGCUCAUUGGAAUCAAGCAAUGUUAGAAGAAUUUCAGGCUCUAAAAAACACAAGUACUUGGACCUUAGUACCAUCCUUUACACAUCAAAACAUUGUAGGUUGUAAAUGGGCGUUUCGGAUUAAACGAAAACCCGAUGGUACAGUUUACAGAUACAAGGAUCACCUUGUGGCAAAAAGGUUUCACCAGCAAGAUCAUUGAUUUUAAGAAAACCUUCAGUCCUAUUGCUAAACCAGUGACCAUUCACAUCUUAUUAACUCUUGCUGUCCAAAAUGAUUGGUUCUUAAAUCAAUUGGAUAUUAGCAAUGCGUUUCUUCAUAUAUCACUAAAAGAAAAGGUGUUUAUGCAACAACCUCCUGGUUUUGUUGACGUUUCUCAGCCUUUAUUUGUUUGCGAGCUUGAUCGGUCUCUUUAUAGCUUAAAGCAAGCCCAUCGAGCUUGGUAUGAUAAACUUGGUCAUAUUUUACUCUCUCUUGGUUUUGCUAAUUCGCAAUCAGAUUGCUCCUUAUUUGUGCAUACAUCUCCUUCCCUUGUGAUAGUAUUAGUGUAUGUUGAUACAUCCUAGUCACCGGUCCAAAUGCCUCUCAUUGUCAAGCUUUAUUCACAAUCUCAGUUAUUUGUUUCCUGUCAAAGAUCUAAAGCCUCUUCACUAUUUCCUUGGUUUUGAAGUACAUCGAUCCUCUAAAGGUAUCAAGCAAAUAUGCCAUGGAUCCUCUAGUUAAGACAAAAAUGGAAGGAUGUAAACCUUGUGCCACUCGUCUUGUCACUGCUAAAUUGGAUCACAUUGGAGCUUUGUUGUCUGAUCUAAAUGAGUACACGUCCAUCGUUGGUGUUCUUCAAUACUUAACAUGGACAAUGCCAGAUCUUUCCCUUACUGUGAACCAAGUUUGUCAAUUUCUUCACUGUCCUCGAGAUACAUAAUUUCAGGCAGUUAAACUUAUUCUCCGGUUUCUCAAAUGUUCAGUUGAUUAAUGACUCCGGUUUAAAAAUGGUUUUAUGCAACUUACAGCCUUUUUGGAUGCUGAUUGGGCUGGAUGUGUUAUUGAUAGAAGAUCUACCUCUGGUUAUUGUGUUUACUUGGGACCAAUCUUAUAAGUUGGAGUGCUAAAAAGCAGCCCAUUAUUCCAAGGUCUUCAACCGAAGCUAAGUAUCGAUCUCUUGCUUUCACUGUUGCAAAAAUCACAUGGAUCUGUAAGAUUUUCAAAGACAUCACUUUUCCUCUUCCUCAUACUCCUACAUUAUGGUGUGACAAUGUUUCUACCAUCAAUUUGGCUUCAAAUCAUGUGUUCCAUGCGAGUACCAAGCAUGUCGAGGUUGAUUAUCACUAUAUCUGGGAACUUGUUCUUGCAGAUUUAGUCAAAGUUUUGUAUGUUAACAUUGAAAACCAAAUUGCAGAUAUUCAUACAAAGUCGUUGUCCAAGGCAUGGUUCAAGUAUCUUCAAUCCAAGCUUUCUCUGGGUUCUCCUCCAUUUAGCUUAAGGGAGUGUAAAAGGAUAACUCAUAGCUAACAGCUUGUAUAGUUGUCUUUUACAAUUGUAACAGUUUUGUAACUAAUCUAUGUGUUUGAGAUUUAAUUAAGUACAAUUAGUUACUAAGCUUAAUUAGAGAAAUGUAUAUAUACUGAGUUGUACUCCUUACACAUUAAGAAGGAAAUAAUACAUACUUCUUUCUUUACAGUUCAAGUUAUUGGCAAUGUGCGUGGUGGCUCAUCCACGCUGGACUUAGUUGCUGAUGAUAUCAAAAUUAGGCUACAAGGCUUCAUUAUAUCUCAAAUAUGUCAUUGGUAGAUCCACCAAUAUGUGGCGCAUAGAUUGGCCAAAGUUGGCCUUAUGUUCAUAUGUUGACUCUUGUUAGUGUGAUGAGCCUUUUGAUGUAUUCCAGAAUGCACUCCUUGAAGGUUGUAUGUUUCCAUUUACAUGUCCAAACAACAUGCACAAAGAACACUAAAAUUGUUAUAAAAAUAAAAAUAAAAAUAAAAAUAAAAAAAGCAUACUAUUAAACCCAAAUAAAAAUUUCCAACUAGAACAAUUUUUAGUCUUAGGUCACUAACUAAUAACUAUAGUUGGUUUUCUUGGAGUCGUCCUAAUCCAUUAUAUCGUCUUCAAUAUCAAAAUAGUCUGCCAAAGUAGCAUAGUCAUACUUUCUCUUGUUCAGCUUCUGAGAAAGAAGUGAAUGGAUAUACAGACUUCUUAAACACUUUGGUAGUCAAACUAUCAUCCGGUUUUCCACUUCUGCCAGCUCUGCUCAGAAGCACUUCUGGUAGGUCCUGAGACUUUCAUCUUUAGACUGAGGGACCAUCUACGCAAACGUCAAAGUACACUGAGUAGGUGUUUUUGAAUAUCUCAGCCAAAGUUUCAAAAUAGUCGAUGGAUCUGGAUGGCACCUCCGAAUGCUAUCACAUCGCUGGUCCCCUUAAAGUAGAUGAUAACAUUUUGCACAUAUAAGUAUCGUUGUUGUUGCAUAGCGCCAUGGCAUUCCGGUAAUGCAUGAUGUGGUAGUCGAGGUUAGAAUCGACGCGAAAUGAUUUGAACCUUGAUUGAGAAAACUUUUCCGCUAUGGGUAUUUCUUUGAUUAUCAUUGAAAGUGGUGUUCUAACCCGGACUGUUGCCUUGCCUGGGGUUUGAGGUUGGCUAUCCAUGACUAGGCUCGCAUAAUUUUCUCUAUCCAGGAUGUGUCAUCGUUCUUAAUCUCCAGAAAAUUCAGGCUCGUCAAACCUCAGACGAAGAGGUUUUGCCCUUCGUGCUAUUGUUGUACCUUGAAGAGGAUUAUGUAGAUUUUUUUGUUAUUCUCCAGUAACCAUGUUUGUGACCUACUCAUUUCUUAUUGGGCCUCUUCUUGGAUUGAUGGCAAUCGCUGGCGCUGAAACAGCAUGAAACAUUAUGGGGUCCUCUUCAAGGGUAUGGUACUUAUGUUUCCAUAUUCGUAAACAGGGAUCUGGGUUGAAUGGGUCAUCCCACUUAAAUUCUUUAGGUUUUUCCUUCGCUUCUCCAUGUCUACGAAGUUGGAAUGGCUUUCUGCUUGAACAGCACAUACAAUCUGGCUCUUUUGCAACUUCUCGACAUAAACGUUGAUCUUCGUCAAGGUUUCUCAAAUUUGAUCCAUGGAAGGAGAUGGUCUGUUGACUGGGUCUUCAUCAUUUUCGAGCGUGGCCGUCACUCUUUAUGGGCUGUUACUUGCCUCUGGAGUUGGUUCUUAGGCAACGGGCGAUUCACUCCUGAAAUAACGGACCCAUCAAAAGGUAGGUUAUCUCCACCGAUGGGGUUAACGUUGGCAUUGACCAAGCUUUCCUCAGCAUACAUGUCAAUCAGCAGAGUGAUCUGGUUGGAGGAAUAAAAGUUCGCUCUCAAUGAAAGUACCAAUUGUUAUAACCAAACUUGCGUACCUCCAUGAACGAUGUUUGAGCACAAAUUCGAGCAACUUGCAAAACAGUAAACAAACUUUAGCAAGCCUAGGACUAGAGAGGUGUGUCGACCAAAGGCUUUCCGACUGCCAAGUUAGGGAGUGAUUAGACUCUAGUAGUGGUCAAGAGAAUUGAAGUGUUUUGAUUGCGUUACCCGAGAUGAACCCUAGAUGAGUGUAUUUAUAACGUGGAGAGAUAGACCUUUUUAGGAUGGAAUCCUAGCUCUAAGCCCAUAGAAUCCUAAAGGAUAUUGAAAGGUAGAUAUUGCUUCUUCUUAGGAGUUAUGAUUACUUGCAGCACACACCAUUUCCUAGAUUUUAGAAAUUCCAAGACUUAUAGGACCUAAUUGUGUCCGUAUCUGAAUCAAAUCGCGUCUUACGAAACAAGUAUGGUCAUCUGGCGAAGUAGCUAGGACUCUGCCUUAUGCCCUAGAGUGGAAUGAUGGUGGCACCGCUACACCAUCUGAUACAGCUCCGCCCAAAACUAGUGAGUCUAUGACCGAACUUUUGAGGUAACUGUAUUCAGAUCAGUCUUACUCCACUCCUGGAAAAUCAUGGUCCCACAAUAACUUCUCAUGUUUCUCCUUAGUCAAUGAGUUUUUAUCCCACAUUGGGUUUUACCAUAGCAAGAUUUUGUGAGUUUUACCUUUUUAUGCAUUCUUCUGUUGAUUUGAGACUCACAUUUGCUUAUUGUGCCGACGACUUCAUCAACCGAACUUACUUCAUCACCAAAGACCUAAUGCACCAUUUACUUGAGUAUUUACACUCUAAGGGAGGAGUGUUGCGGUCCUAAUUAGGUUAGGAAUGUGAUUGUGUAAAUCAAAGGGGAUUCUAUAGUAUCUUUUAGUUAGUAUUUAAGUUGUAAUACCUAAAGGGUAAGGGAUUUAUCUUCCCUACUACUAUAAAUAAAGGCACAAUGAGGUGAGAAAUCACACCUCAUAAUUCACACAAUUCUCUCCAUGCUUUGCCGCACCCUCUCUCUUAGUCUCUCUAUACUUCUUUAAUCAAAUAGGCCUACAACGUAUUCUUCAUUGUGCGUGAAUUUCUCUCUCUCUCUCUCUCUCUAUAUAUAUAUAUAUAUAUAUAUGCAUAUGCAUAUUACAUACCUAUGUAUGUACUAUAGGUAUGAGCUGAGACAUUUUGUACCAAAACCUAUGUACUGAUACAUUCACACUGAAAUUUAUGUACCUAUACAUCGUACCGAAACUUAUGUACUGAUGCAAUCGUAUCAAAACUUAUGUACCAAUACUUCCAUACCUACAAGUUUUUAUUUUUAAAUACAUUGUUUUUGUAUUGCUGUUGAAUUUUUUUUAUUAAGAAAUUGAAUUUGAAUAAUGCUUUAUCUAUUAAUAUGAUUGAAGCCCAAAAAAUACACAUUAAUGAUGGAUGGGUAAAGAAUUUUGGAUGGUAAGUUUAUAAAUAAUAAAUAUGCCACAAAUAAUUAAAUAUGGUAAGUUUUUUUUUUUUUUUUUUUUGUCAAAAAAUAGAUUUUGUUAGAUUAGAUGUUAGAUUAGUCACCGACGAGAUUUGAACUCAUGUCAUCAUGCAAGGGCUCAACUUCUUUCCAUCACUGUGGUAAAUGGCCACUUGCAAAUAUGAUAAGUUUUAAUAAUAUGGAAUUAAAUUAGAUUUAUAAAACCUUCUAGGUUAAAAUCUAAAAAGAAUCUUAUUUAAGUCCUAAAGCCUAAAAACCCUUAAAAUAUAUGAUUCUUUCUACUAGUCUUCCAAUCCUUUGAAGGGGUAGCUUAGUUGUAAUGUACAAGCCUUUCUGUACGCGCUCAUGCGCGUGCGAAAGGUUUUUUUUACAUCACGGCGAGCUACGCGUGGCAUGUGGAGUUAUUUUUUCAUUUUACAUUUGUUCACACAUAAAGACAUUCUUAUAGUUACCAUGCACUAAGCGCAAUGUGCAAUGUUUAAUUUUAAUAUUUGUACUUGUCAAGAGACAUUCUUUCAUUUUAAUUUUUUUAGCUAAAAGUUUGUAUGGACUUUUGCACCGUUAGAUUUAAAUUAAGAACCUGCAAGCCUCUCACCUUGAAACGAGAAAAGCACAUAAAUGAAAUGAAGCUAAACAUGAUGAUCCUGAUCAAUCUCUCAUAUUACAAAUGCCACAAAAAAUGAAACUUUAUGUGAUUGCAAAAAAAUUUCAAACAUUCAAUUACCCGAAAAACAGAUUAUACAAAUUAAAAAAUUUCAAACAUUCAAUUACCCAGAAAACAACAAUGAAAAUCUUAUUAAAUUAAUUAAAAUAAACUCAUUAGCCAAGUUAAAAAAUUUCAAACAUUCAAUUACCCAGAAAACAACAAUGAAAAUUUUAUUAAAUUAAUUAAAAUAAACUCUUUAGCAAAAGGAACAUAAAAAUGCAAAAUUCUACUAAAUUAAUUAAAAUAAACUAAUUAAUGUGCAGGAGGAACAUAAACAACCUUUUGAAUUAAUCUAAAGAGAUACAAACUAAAAAUAUUAAGAUUGACAGGAGGAAAUGAUUGAAAUUGAUAAUUGAGAAUAAAAGAUUAAGAUUGAGAGUUGAGAAGUUGUACCGAGGAAGACUCUUUGUUGAUUUGGCUCUCUGUUUCAUCCUCUGCCUCGCCCUCAUUCUCUUCUCCUUGAUUUCUGCAAUGAACGGAGAAACAAUUUGCUAUAAAAUAUAUUUGUGUAAUCAAAUAAUAUGUAGCCAACCUGGUUGAGAAGACAUUUGGAAUUUCGUAAGAUGGAGACUCUGUGCAUGUUCUUCCUUUCUGAUUCUUGAAUUUAAAUGAGAUUUGUAUAAGUAUAUAUUGGCAAUUCAUCUUGAUAGAAACUACAUUUUGAUGAAUGUGGGUGCAAUUUUUCAAUUUUCACAUUCUAUUUUUUAUUUGAGGGUUUUAGCAUGUCUCUUUUUUAUUUGUUUUUCUUUUCAUUUUUUUUUCCAAUAAAACGAUUUUUUACAAAAUCAUCAUGUGUUUUGUUUUGAGCCAGAAUGGUUAUUCAAUAUUUUGGCGGCUGAUGUAAACGUUUCCGUUCGUAUUUAAUGAAAUUUCUAUUGUUGAAAAAAAAUAUAUAUGUUCAGUAUUUAAUGACUAUGGUUUAAAAAUGGUUCUAUGCAACUUACAGCCUUCUUGGAUGCUGAUUGGGCUAGAUGUGUUAUUGAUAGAAGAUCUACCUCUGGUUAUUGUGUUUACUUGCAACCCAAUCUUAUAAGUUGGAAUGCUAAAAAAUAGCCCACUGUUGCAAGGUCUUCAACCGAAGCUGAGUAUCGAUCUCUUGCUCUCACUACUGCAGAAAUCACAUGGAUCUGUAAGAUUUUCAAAGACAUCAUUUUUCCUCUUCCUCAUACUCCUACAUUAUGUUGUGACAAUGUUUCUGCCAUAUAUUUGGCUUUAAAUCCUGUGUUCCAUGAGCGUACCAAGCAUGUCGAGGUUGAUUAUCACUAUAUAUGGGAGCUUAUUCUUGCAGAUUUAGUCAAAGUUUUGUAUGUUAACAUUGAAAACCAGAUUGCAGAUAUUCAUACAAAGUCGAUGUCCAAGGCAUGGUUCAAGUAUCUUCAAUCCAAGCUUUCUCUAGGUUCUCCUCUGAUUAGCUUGAGGAAGUGUAAAGGGAUAACUCAUAGCUAACAGCUUGUACAGCUGUCUUUUACAGUUGUAACAGUUUUGUAACUAAUUACUGUGUUAGAGAUUUAAUUAAGUACAAUUAGUUACUAAGCUUAAUUAGAGAAAUGUAUAUAUACUAAGUUGUAUUCCUUACACAUUAACAAAGAAAUAAUACAAACUUCUUUCUUUACAGUUCAAGCUAUUGGCAACGUGCGUGGUGGCUCAUCCACGCUAGACUUAGUUGCUGAUUAUAUCUCAAAUAUGUCAUUGGUAGAUCCACCAAUAUGUGGCGCAUAGAUUGGCCAAAUUUGGCCUUAUGUUCAUAUUUUGACUCUUGUUAGUGUGAGAAGCCUCCAGAUAUAUUCUAGGAUACACUCCUUGAAGGUUGUAUGUUUCCAUUUACAUGUCCAAACAACAAGCACAAAGAAUACUAAAAUUUUAAAAAUAAAAAAAUAUAAAAUAUAAAAAUAAAAAAGGCAUACUAUUAAACCUAAAUAAAAAUUGCCAACUAGAACAAUUUUUAGUCUUAGGUCACUAACUAAUAACUAUAGUCGAUUUUCUUGGAGUAAUCUGGUUUGGUUGUUGUUCUCCUGCUCUUGUCGUCCCAAUCCAUUAGAUCGUCUUCAAUAUCAAAAUAGUCCGCCAAAGUAGCAUAGUCAUACUUUCUCUUGUUCAGCUUCUGAGAAAAAGGUGAAUGGACAUACAGACCUCUUAAACACCUUGGUAGCCAAACUAUCAUCCGAUUUUUCCACUUCUGCUAGCUCUACUCGGAAACACUUCAGGUAAGUUCUAAGACUUUUAGAUUUAGACUGAAUGACCAUUUACGCAAAUGUCACGAUACACUAAGUAGGUGUUUGUGAAUAUCUCAGCCAAAGUUUCAAAACAGUCGAUGGAUAUGGCUGGCACCUUCGAAUACUAUCUCAUCGCUGGUCCCCCUAGAGUAGGUGAGAACAUUUUGCACAUAUAAGCAUUGUUGUUGCUGUAUAACGUCAUGGCAUUCCGAUAAUGCAUGAUGUGGUAGUCAAGGUUAGAAUAGAUGCAAAAUGAUUUGAACCUCAAUUGAGAAAACUUCUCCGGUAUGGGUAUUUCUUCGAUUACCAUUGAAAGUGAUGUUCUAACCUGGAUCAUCGCCCUACCUAGGGGUGCAAGGUUGGCUGCCUAUGACUAAGCUCACAUGAUUUUCUCUAUCUAUGAGGUGUCAUCGUUCUUAAUCUCCAGAAAAUUCAGGCUUGUUAAACCUCAAACGAUAAGGUUUCGCCUUCAGUGCUGUUGUUGUACCUUGAGGAGGAUUACGUAGAUUUUUUGGUUAUUCUCCAAUAACCACAUUUGUGACCUACUCACUUCUUAUUGGGCCCUUUCUUGGAUUGAUGGCAAUCGCUAGUGCCAGAACAACAUGAAACAGUAUGGGGUCCCCUUCAAGGGUAUGGUACUUAUGUUUUCAUAUCCAUAAAUAGAGAUCUGGGUUGAAGGGGUCAUCCCAUUCAAAUUCUUUAGGUUAUUCCUUCGCUUUUCUAUGUUUACGAAGUUGGAGCAGCUUUCUACUUGAGCGGUACAUACAAUCUGGCUCUUUUGCAACUUCUUGACAUAAAUGUUUAUCUUCGUCAGGGUUUCUCAAAUUUGAUCCAUGGAGGGAGGUGGUCUAUUGACUGGGUCUCCAUCAUUUUCGAGGGUGGCCAUCACUCCUUAUGGGCUGUUACUUACCUCUGGAGUUAGUUCUGAGGCAGCGAGCUAUUCGCUCCUGAAAUAACGAACACAUCAAAAAGCAGGUUAUCUACACCUGUGGGGUUAACGUUGGCGUUAACCGAGCUUUCCUUGGCAUACAUGUCAAUCGGCAAAGUGAUCUAGUUCAGAGGAAUAAGAGUUUGUUCUCAAUGAAAGUACCAAUUGUUAGAACCAAAUUUGCGCACCUUCAUGAACGGUAGUUGAGCACAAAUUCGAGCAACUUGCAAAAUGGUAAACAAAUGUUAGCAAGCCUAGGACCGGAUGGUGUGUCGACCAAAGGCUCUCCGCCUGUCAAGUUAGUGAGUGAUUAGACUCUAGCAGUGGUCAAAAGAAUUGAAGUAUUUAGAUUGUGUUACCAUAGAUGAACCCUAAAUGAAUGUAUUUAUAACAUGGGGAGACAUACCUUUUUAGGAUGGAAUCUUAGCUCUAAGCCUAGAGAAUCCUAGAGGAUAUCAAGAGGUAGAUAUUGCAUCUUCUUAGGAGUUAUGAUUACUUGCAGUACACGCCAUUUCCUAGAUUGUAGGAAUUCCAAGACUUAAAAGACUUGAUUGUGUCUAUAUCCGAAUCAAAUCGCAUGUCUUACGAAACAAGCAUGGUCAUCUAGCGGAGUAGCUAGGACUCUGCCUUAUGCCCUAGAAUGGAGUGAUGGUGGCACUGCUACUCCAUCUGAUACAGCUCUGCUCAAAGCUAGUGAGUCUAUGACUGAACUUUUGAGGUAACUGUAUUCAGAUUAGUCUUGCUCUGCUCCCAGAAAAUCAUGGUCCCACAACAACUUCUCAUGUUUCUCCUUAGUCAAUGGGUUUUUAUCCCACAUUGGGUUUCACCAUAGCAAGAUUUUGUGAGUUUUACCUUUUUAUGCAUUUUUCUUUUUAUUUGAGACUGACAUUUUGCUUAUUGUGCCGACAACUUCAUCAACCGAACUUAUUUCAUCACCAAAAACCUAAUGCGCCAUUUACAAUGAAGUGACAAAUCACACCUUAGAAUUCACACAAUUCUCUCUAUGCUUUGCCACACCCUCUCUCUUAGUCUCUCUAUACUUCUUUAAUCAAAUAGGCCUACAACAUAUUCUUCAUUGUGCGUGAAUUUCUCUAUAUAUAUGCAUAUGCAUAUUACAUACCUAUGUAUGUACUAUAGGUAUGAGCCGAGACAUUUUAUACCAAAACUUAUGUACUAAUACAUUCGCACCGAAAUUUAUGUACCUAUACAUCAUACCGAAACUUAUGUACUGAUGUAAUCGUAUCAAAACUUACGUACCAAUACUUUCGUACCUAUGAGUUUUUUAUUUUUAUUUUUAAAUACAUUGUUUUUGUAUUGUUGUUGAAUUUUUUUAUUAAGAAAUUGAAUUUGAAUAAUGAUUUAUCUAUUAAUAUGAUUGAAGCACAAAAAAUACACAUUAAUGAUGGAUGGGUAAACAAUUUCGGAUGGCAAGUUUAUAAAUAAUAAAUAUGUAACAUCCCACGUCGUCCAGGGGAGUGGAUCCUAUAAGCCUUAUAUGUAUAUUCCUAUCUCUACCUAGCACGAGGCUUUUUGGGAACUCACUGGCUUCGGGUUCCAUUGGAACUCCGAAGUUAACCGAGUUUGCGCGAGAGCAAUCCUAGGAUGGGUGACCUACUGGGAAGUUCUCAUGUGAGUUCCCAUAAACAAAACCAUGAGGGCGUGGUCGGGGCCCAAAGCCGACAAUAUCGUGCUACAACGGAGUUGAGCCCGAGAUGUGACAAAAUAUGCUACAAAUACUUAAAUAUGGUAAGUUUUUCUUUUUGUCAAAAACAUAGAUUUUGUUAGAUUAGCCACCGACGAGGUUGAACUCACGUCAUCAUGCAAGGGCUCAACUUUUUUCCAUCACUGUGGUAAAAGACCACUUGCAAAUAUGGUAAGUUUUAAUAAUAUGGAAUUAAAUUAGAUUUAUAAACCUUCCAGGUUAAAAUCUAAAAAGAAUCUUAUUUAAGUCCUAAAGCCUAAAAACCCUUAAAAUAUAUGAUUCUUUCUACUAGUCUUCCAGUCCUUUGAUAAGGUAGCUUAGUUGUAAUGUACAAGCCUUUCUGUACGCACUCACACACGUGCGAAAGACUUUUUCUACAUCAUGGCGAGCUACGCGCGGCGUGUGGAGUUAUUUUUUUCAUUUUACAUUUGUUCACGCAUAAAGACAUUCUUAUAGUUACCAUGCACUAAGCAUGAUGUGCAAUGUUCAAUUUUAAUAUUUGUACUUGUCAAGAGACAUUUUUCAUUUUAAUUUUUUUAGCUAAAAGUUUGUAUGGACUUAUGCACCGUUAGAUUUAAAUUAAGAUAUCGCAAGCCUCUCACCUUGAAAAGAGAAAAGCACAUAAACGAAAUGAAGGUAAACAUGAUGAUCAUGAUCAAUCUCUCAUAUUACAAAUGCCACAAAAUAUGAAACUUUAUGUCCAAAUGAUAGCAAAAAAAUUUCAAACAUUCAAUUACCUAAAAAACUAAUUAUACAAAUUAAAAAAUUUCAAACAUUCAAUUACCCAGAAAACAACAAUGAAAAUUUUAUUAAAUUAAUUAAAAUAAAUUCAUUAGCAAAAUCAAAAAUUUUCAAACAUUCAAUUACCUAGAAAACAACAAUGAAAAUUUUAUUAAAUUAAUUAAAAUAAACUCAUUAGUAAAAGGAACAUAAAAAUGAAAAUUUCUUCUAAAUUAAUUAAAAUAAACUAAUUAAUGUGCAGGAGGAACAUAAACAACCUUUUGAAUUAAUCUAAAGAGAUACAAACUAAAAAUAUUAAGAUUGACAGGAGGAAAUGAUUGAAAUUGAUAAUUGAGAAUAAAAGAUUAAGAUUGAGAGUUGAGAAGUUGUACCAAGGAAGACUCUUUGUUGAUUUGGCUCUCUUUUUCAUCCUCCGCC